UACGUAGGGUGCGAGCGUUGUCCGGAAUUAUUGGGCGUAAAGGGCUCGUAGGCGGUUUGUCGCGUCGGGAGUGAAAACGCACAGCUUAACUGUGUGCUUGCUUUCGAUACGGGCAGACUAGAGGCAUGCAGGGGAGAACGGAAUUCCUGGUGUAGCGGUGAAAUGCGCAGAUAUCAGGAGGAACACCGGUGGCGAAGGCGGAUCUCUGGGCCAUUACUGACGCUGAGGAGCGAAAGCGUGGGGAGCGAACAGG
rnacentral:rRNA from 1 species